rnacentral:rRNA from 1 species
GACGAACGCUGGCGGCGUGCCUAAUACAUGCGAGUUGAGCGAUGAAGAUUGGUGCUUGCACCAAUUUGAAGAGCAGCGAACGGGUGAGUAACGCGUGGGGAAUCUGCCUUUGAGCGGGGGACAACAUUUGGAAACGAAUGCUAAUACCGCAUAACAACUUUAAACAUAAGUUUUAAGCUUGAAAGAUGCAAUUGCAUCACUCAAAGAUGAUCCCGCGUUGUAUUAGCUAGUUGGUGAGGUAAAGGCUCACCAAGGCGAUGAUACAUAGCCGACCUGAGAGGGUGAUCGGCCACAUUGGGACUGAGACACGGCCCAAACUCCUACGGGAGGCAGCAGUAGGGAAUCCUCGGCAAUGGACGAAAGUCUGACCGAGCAACGCCGCGUGAGUGAAGAAGGUUUUCGGAUCGUAAAACUCUGUUGGUAGAGAAGAACGUUGGUGAGAGUGGAAAGCUCAUCAAGUGACGGUAACUACCCAGAAAGGGACGGCUAACUACGUG